rnacentral:rRNA from 1 species
UACGGGGGGAGCAAACGUUGUUCGGAAUCACUGGGCGUAAAGGGAGCGUAGGCGGCCAUGUAAGUGAGGUGUUAAAUCCCCCGGCUCAACCGGGGACCUGCACCUCAUACUGCACGGCUUGAGUACAUCAGAGGAGAAUGGAAUUCCCGGUGUAGCGGUGAAAUGCGCAGAUAUCGGGAAGAACACCCGUGGCGAAGGCGGUUCUCUGGGACGGUACUGACGCUGAGACGCGAAAGCGUGGGGAGCGAACAGG